UGAGGAAUAUUGGUCAAUGGGCGGGAGCCUGAACCAGCCAAGCCGCGUGAGGGAAGAAGGCCCUAUGGGUCGUAAACCUCUUUUGUCAGGGAACAAAAGCGAGUAUGUAUACUAGUCUGAGUGUACCUGAAGAAAAAGCAUCGGCUAACUCCGUGCCAGCAGCCGCGGUAAUACGGAGGAUGCGAGCGUUAUCCGGAUUUAUUGGGUUUAAGGGUGCGUAGGCGGCGGUGCAAGUCAGCGGUAAAAGCCCGGGGCUCAACCCCGGCGAGCCGUUGAAACUGCAGUGCUAGAGAAGGCGAGAGGUACGCGGAAUGCGCAGUGUAGCGGUGAAAUGCUUAGAUAUUGCGCAGAACUCCGAUUGCGAAGGCAGCGUACUGGCGCCUGACUGACGCUGAGGCACGAAAGCGUGGGGAUCGAACAGGAUUAGAUACC
rnacentral:rRNA from 1 species